CCUACGGGAGGCAGCAGUAGGGAAUAUUGCUCAAUGGGCGAAACCCUGAAGCAGCAACGCCGCGUGGAGGAUGAAGGUUUUCGGAUUGUAAACUCCUUUUGUUAGAGAAGAUAAUGACGGUAUCUAACGAAUAAGCACCGGCUAACUCCGUGCCAGCAGCCGCGGUAAUACGGAGGGUGCAAGCGUUACUCGGAACUACUGGGCGUAAAGGGCGCGUAGGCGGGAUAGCAAGUCUGAUGUGAAAUCGUAGGGCUUAACCAUAGAAAUGCAUUGGAAACUGUUAUUCUAGAGUAUGGGAGAGGUAGGUGGAAUUCUUGGUGUAGGGGUAAAAUGCGUAGAGAUCAAGAGGAAUACUCAUUGCGAAGGCGACCUGCUAGAACAUAACUGACGCUGAUGCGCGAAAGCGUGGGGAGCAAACAGGAUUAGAUACCCCAGUAGUC
rnacentral:rRNA from 1 species